AGACGUCUACAUUAGAUACCCGGGUAGUCCCAGCCGUAAACUAUGCGCGUUAGGUGUAUCGGUGACCACGAGUCACCGAGGUGCCGAAGGGAAACCGUGAAACGUGCCGCCUGGGAAGUACGGUCGCAAGGCUGAAACUUAAAGGAAUUGGCGGGGAGCACCACAACGGGUGGAGCCUGCGGUUUAAUUGGACUCAACGCCGAGAAGAUCACCGGAUAAGACAGCGGAAUGAUUGCCGGGCUGAAGACUCUGCAUGACUAGCUG
rnacentral:rRNA from 1 species